rnacentral:sRNA from 1 species
UUUGCCAAACGACGAAAGCCCUACCUCUCUUCCAUCCUUGCGGCUCCGAUGACCGCGCCAGUGUGAAUGCAAAAUAUACUGCAAAA